rnacentral:misc_RNA from 1 species
AGCAGCCGCGGUAAUUCCAGCUCCAAUAGCGUAUAUUAAAGUUGUUGCAGUUAAAAAGCUCGUAGUUGAAUUUCGGGAUUGACGUGAUGGUCGUGCCUUACGGGGUAUGAACUGUUGCUGUUGAUUUCUCACCUUCUGGAGAAACUUGAUGUCCUUAAUUGGGUGUCUUGCGGAUCCAGGACCUUUACCUUGAAAAAAUUAGAGUGUUUAAAGCAGGCAUUUUUGCUCGAAUACAUUAGCAUGGAAUAAUAGAAUAGGACGGCAUGGUUCUAUUUUGUUGGUUUCUAGGAUCACCGUAAUGAUUAAUAGGGAUAGUUGGGGGCAUUAGUAUUCAAUUGUCAGAGGUGAAAUUCUUGGAUUUAUUGAAGACUAACUACUGCGAAAGCAUUUGCCAAGGAUGUUUUCAUUAAUCAAGAACGAAAGUUAGGGGAUCGAAGACGAUCAGAUACCGUCGUAGUCUUAACCAUAAACUAUGCCGACUAGGAAUCAGACGAUGUUAAUUUUUUCAAUGACUCGUUUG